rnacentral:rRNA from 1 species
AACGAACGCUGGCGGCAUGCCUAACACAUGCAAGUCGAACGAGAUCUUCGGGUCUAGUGGCGCACGGGUGCGUAACGCGUGGGAAUCUGCCCUUUGGUUCGGAAUAACAGUUGGAAACGACUGCUAAUACCGGAUGAUGACGAAAGUCCAAAGAUUUAUCGCCAGAGGAUGAGCCCGCGUAGGAUUAGCUAGUUGGUGUGGUAAAGGCGCACCAAGGCGACGAUCCUUGGCUGGUCUGAGAGGAUGAUCAGCCACACUGAGACUGAGACACGGCCCAGACUCCUACGGGAGGCAGCAGUGGGGAAUAUUGGACAAUGGGCGAAAGCCUGAUCCAGCAAUGCCGCGUGAGUGAUGAAGGCCUUAGGGUUGUAAAGCCCUUUUACCCGGGAUGAUAAUGACAGUACCGGGAGAAUAAGCUCCGGCUAACUCCGUGCCAGCCGCCGCAGUAA